UCUUGGUUAGCUCAGUUGGUAGAGCGCUCCACUGGAAAUGGAGAGGUCCCGGGUGGUCCGAUACCAGGAC
rnacentral:tRNA from 1 species